GAUGAACGCUGGCGGCGUGCCUAAUACAUGCAAGUCGAGCGAACAGACGAGGAGCUUGCUCCUCUGACGUUAGCGGCGGACGGGUGAGUAACACGUGGAUAACCUACCUAUAAGACUGGGAUAACUUCGGGAAACCGGAGCUAAUACCGGAUAAUAUAUUGAACCGCAUGGUUCAAUAGUGAAAGACGGUUUUGCUGUCACUUAUAGAUGGAUCCGCGCCGCAUUAGCUAGUUGGUAAGGUAACGGCUUACCAAGGCAACGAUGCGUAGCCGACCUGAGGGGGUGAUCCGCCACACUGGAACUGAGACACGGUCCAGACUCCUACGGGAGGCAGCAGUAGGGAAUCUUCCGCAAUGGGCGAAAGCCUGACGGGGGAACGCCGGGUGAGGGAUGAAGGUCUUCGGAUCGUAAAACUCUGUUAUUAGGGAAGAACAAAUGUGUAAGUAACUAUGCACGUCUUGACGGUACCUAAUCAGAAAGCCACGGCUAACUUCGUG
rnacentral:rRNA from 1 species